rnacentral:rRNA from 1 species
CCUACGGGUGGCUGCAGUGGGGAAUAUUGGACAAUGGGCGAAAGCCUGAUCCAGCCAUGCCGCGUGUGUGAAGAAGGCCUUCGGGUUGUAAAGCACUUUCAGUGGGGAAGAAAGCCUUGGGGCUAAUACCCUCGAGGAAGGACAUCACCAACAGAAGAAGCACCGGCUAACUCCGUGCCAGCAGCCGCGGUAAUACGGAGGGUGCGAGCGUUAAUCGGAAUUACUGGGCGUAAAGCGCGCGUAGGCGGUCUGAUAAGCCGGUUGUGAAAGCCCCGGGCUCAACCUGGGAACGGCAUCCGGAACUGUCAGGCUAGAGUGCAGGAGAGGAAGGUAGAAUUCCCGGUGUAGCAGUGAAAUGCGUAGAGAUCGGGAGGAAUACCAGUGGCGAAGGCGGCCUUCUGGACUGACACUGACGCUGAGGUGCGAAAGCGUGGGUAGCAAACAGGAUUAGAUACCCUGGUAGUC